AUGCAUGUCUAAGUACAGACUCUCGAACAGUGAAACCGUGAAUGGCUCAUUAAAUCAGUUAUGGUUCGUUAGAUCGAAUGCCUUACGCGGAUAACUUUUGGGAAUUCUAGAGCUAAUACGUGCAUACAAGCUCCGACUCGCGAAGGAGCGUAUUUAUUAGACCAAAGCCAACCGGGCGCAAGCUCGUCACGCGAUGACUCCGAGUAACUCUUGCUGAUCGCAGCGGCCUCGAGCCGGCGACGUAUCUUUCAAAUGUCUGCCCUAUCAACUUUCGAUGGUAGUUGACAUGACUACCACGGUCGUAACGGGUAACGGGGAAUCAGGGUUCGAUUCCGGAGAGGGAGCCUGAGAAACGGCUGCUACACCUACGGGGGGCAGCAGGCGCGCAAAUUACCCACUCCCGGCACGGGGAGGUAGUGACGAAAAAUAACGGCUCCGGACUCACUGAGUUCGGCGACCGCAAUGAGAACAGUGUAAAUACUUUAUCGAGUAUCAAAUAGAGGGCAAGUCUGGUGCCAGCAGCCGCGGUAAUUCCAGCUCUAUUAGCGUAUAUUAAAGUUGUUGCGUUUAAAAAGCUCGUAGUUGGAUUUCAGACUGGCUUUCGACGACGUUCAGCUUAGCUGUGUCGUCGAGCCAAUUUAACGGCCGCGCUCGGCCGCGAUGCCUUUCAUCGGGUGUCACGGCCGGCCGGCGAAUUUACUUUGAAGAAAAUAGAGUGCUCAAAGCAGGCGUUCGCCCGAAUGGUGUUGCAUGGAAUAAUGGAACAGGACGUCGAUCCGUUUUGUUGGUUCUUCUCACGGUUACGACGUAAUGAUUAAGAGGAACGGACGGGGGCAUUCGUAUUGCGCCGUUAGAGGUGAAAUUCUUGGAUCGGCGCAGGACGGACUACUGCGAAGGCAUUUGUCAAGAAUGUUUUCAUUAGUCAAGAACGAAAGUCAGAGGAUCGAAGGCGAUCAGAUACCGCCCUAGUUUUGACCGUAAACGAUGCCAACUGGCGAUCUGCCGUGCCGUCUUGUCUGACGCGGCGGGCAGCCACCGGGAAACCUUAAGUUUUUAGGUUCCGGGGAUAGUAUGGUUGCAAAACUGAAACUUAAAGGAAUUGACGGAAGGGCACCACCAGGAGUGGAGCCUGCGGCUUAAUUUGACUCAACACGGGAAAGCUUACCCGGGCCGGACACCGUAAGGAUUGACAGACCGAUAGCUCUUUCUCGAUUCGGUGUAUGGUGGUGCAUUGCCGUUCUUAGUCGGUGGAGCGAUUUGUCUGGUUAAUUCCGAUAACGGACGAGACUCUAGCCUGCUAAAUAGACGUCGCAUGCGCCUUGCGCGGGUGCGUCGGCUUCUUAGAGGGACAGGUGGAUUAUCACGAAGCUACCACGAAAGUGAGCAAUAACAGGUCUGUGAUGCCCUUCGAUGUCCGGGGCCGCACGCGCGCUACAAUGAAGCGGGCAACGUGUUUCGCUCGCCCGAGAGGGCCGGUUAAUCCGUUGAAUCCGUUUCGUACUGGGAACUGGGCUUUGUAAUUAUCGCCCACGAACGAGGAAUUCCUAGUAUGUGCGGGUCAUAAGCCCGCGCAGACUACGUCCCUGCCCUUUGUACACACCGCCCGUCGCUACUACCGAUUGGAUGGCUUGGUGAGGUACUUGGAUUGACGCCGUUUGUCGGCUUCGCCCGCGAACGGUGUC
rnacentral:rRNA from 1 species